rnacentral:lncRNA from 10 species
UCUGCCUGUCUCAGCCUCCCAAAGUGCUGGGAUUACAGGUGUGAUUACUGCACCCAGCAACCACCCUGUAAUGUUUUGUUUUUCCUCUCGUAUUUCCUAGUAGUAAGAAAUAUAUAUAUUUUUUUUACAAAGGUAAACCAAUGAUAAAUUUGUGUUGACUCAGAGAUUAAUCAAGGUGCAACACUAUCCCAUAAUAAUACCCAACAUAACAUGAAAACUUUUAAACUGUAUACAUGACACCUGUCUUGCCUCACUUUGGUAGACAAUAAUUUCUUUAGUUGUGCAGAUUUGGUAUUCAAAAUACAUGAAUUUCUAAACUGUAUGAGUAAUAUUAGUAGUUAUCACACACUUUUUGGAUAUUUUGUUACAGAUAAAGUAGUAUCUAGCGGAAACAGGGACAUAAUUUGUAUCUCCUUUGUUUCCUUUUUUUUUUUUUUAACUCUAAUGAUCUUAUGCCACAUUUGGAGGACGUGGCUGUAUGCACCUUAUCAGUGAACAGAAGCACAGGCGUUAUCCUAUAGGCUGAUGGCAAAGUUCUACCUUCAGACUGGUCAGGUUCAGACUGUCCUUAAUAGACAACUGAUGCUGUUAUCUAGAUUGAGAUAGAAUUGUUUUUUAAAAUAUUUUUUAUUGGAACUAUAACACACAAAGUGUAAAGCUUGCUGAAUCAUCAGAAAAUGAAAACAUACAUAUAGCCAGCAGUCAAAUUACAAAGUAGAACAUUACCAGCACCCCCAAAGCCCACUUAUGCUCACUUGAGUCAGUAUCCUUCCUCCUUGUAGAUUAAGUUAUAAUAUCAUGAAUUAGUUUUGUCUGCUUUUGAACUUCAUAAAGUCUAUACUGUAGUACGUAGUAUUGUGUGUAGGGCUUUUAUUUAAUAUUUUACAAGAUUCAUUCUUGUUACUACUGGAUAGUGUUGCAUUGUAUGAAUGUAUCACAAUGUAUUCAUUUUGCUGAUGAAGGAUAUUAAGGUUAUUUACAGUUUGGGGCUGUUAUGAAUAAUGCUGCUAUGAGCAUUUAUGGAUGUCUUUUGGUGAAUAUAUGUAUGCAUUUCUGUGGAAAUGCAUGUUUUGCUAGGUCAUAGGGAGACCUAUUUCAAUUUUAGUAGGUACUGCCAAUUUUCCAAUGUGGUUGUACAAAUUCCACCCCCAUUUAGAAGUGUCUGAAGAGUUGCACUUGCUCCACAUCCUGGUCAACAUCUGAUAUUAUUGGACUUUUAAAUUUUGGCUUUUCUAAGUAGGUGUAGAGUAUUAUUAUUUCAUUUUAAUGAUACAUCAUUAUAAAUGAUGCAUCAUUGUAAUAAUGUAACAUUACAUCUAAUGAUGUAUCAUUAGUAUCAUUUUAUUUCCUGUGUCUUUUCAUAUGUUUAUUGGCCAUUGGGUUAUCCUCUUCUGCAAAGUGUUGAUUCAAGUCUUUUGUCCAUUUUUCUUUUGGGUUCUUGUCCUCCUUAUGGAUUUGUGGGAAUUCUUUGUAUAAUGUCGAUAUGAUUUCUUUGUUGGUUGUAUGUAUUACAAAUAUAUUCUCCUGCUCCGUGGAUUUUCUUUUUUAAUCUUUUUCUUUUUUUUUUCCUUUUAGAGACAGGGUCUUGUUCAAUUGCCCAGGCUGGAGUGCAGUGGUGCGAUCAUGGCUCACUAUGACCUCAAACAUCUGGGCUCAAAUGAUCCUUCCACACCAGCUUCCUGAGUAACUGGGACCAUAGGUGUGUGCUACCACACCUGAAUAUUUUAAAAUUUUUUGGAGAGACAGGAGUCUUACUAUGUUGCCCAGGCUGGUCUCAAACUCCUGGGCUCAAGCAAUCCUCCCACCUUGGCCUCCCAAAGUGCUGGCAUUAUAGGCGUGAGCCACCAUGCCUAGCCUUUAUCUGUAGAUUCUAAAAAGAUUUUUUUUUUUGUGUACACGAUUGUGUUGUGUGUAAAUAACGACAGUCUUAUUUCUCCUUUUCCAAUUCCUGUAGCUUUUAUUUCUUUUCCUUGACUUGUUGCACUGAACAAGGUCUCUAGUACAAAGUUGAAUAAAAGUGGUAACAGCAAGUAUCCUUGACUCAUUCCUAAUUCUGUAUUUUACUCUGAAGUAUGAUGUUUGCUAUAGUUUUUCGUAGCUAAUAAUCCUUAUCAAAGUAAGGAAGUUUCUAUUGUUAGUUUGCUGAGGUUUUUUUUUUCAUAAAUAGAUUUUGAAUUUUAUCAAGUAUUUUUACUGUGUUUAUUGAGAUGAUCAUAUUUGUUCAGUUAAUAUGGUGAUUUUUGAAUGUUAAAUCAACCUCGAAUACCUUUUAUAAAUUCAACAUAGUAAAGCUGUUUUAUUCUUUUUGGACAUUGGUGGAUUCAGAUUGCUAAUAUUUAGUUUAGGAGUUUUUACAUCUGUGUUCAUGAGAUUGGCCUGUUACUUUCCUUCUGAAUUGGAUCUUGUCAGAUUUUGAAGUCAGGGAUUUGCUGGCCAGGACUGUGGAAUAUGUGGAGAGCUUUGAAAGUGUAUACAAGAAUGGUACUAUUUUUUCCUUAAAUACUUGGUAGAAUUCACUAAUGAAGCUAUUUGAGCAUUGUUUUUUCUUUGUGGCAUGGUUUAAAAUUACAAAUUCAAUUUCUUUACUAGAUAUAGAACUACUCAGAUUUUACAUUUCUCCUUGUGUUAGUUUUGGUAAGUAGUUUUCCUUUUUUGUAAAAGUAGGAAUAUUUUUAAAAUAUAAUAUCUAUUCCAUCUAAACUUUCAAAUCUAUUGGUAUAAAGUUAUUCAUAAUAUCUUUGUAUUAUAUUUUGAAUAUCUUGGGGUUUGUAGAUUUUUUUUCAUCUUUCAUAUUGGUAAUUUAUGCCUUUUCUUUUUCUUGCUAAGUCUUGCUAGGCUUAAUCAAUUUUAUUAGUUUAGCUAGAAUAAAAUACUCAGCUUUGUUGAUCUGGACUGUGUGUUUGAGUUUUCUAUUUCACUAAUAUCUAAUCUGUACUGCUUCUUUAUUUCAGCUUACUUUGCUGUUUUCAAACUUCUUGAAAUGAACGUUAGAUAAUUGAUCUUUUUGCUUUUUUUUUUUUAUUUUUUGAGAUGGAGUCUAGCUCUCUCGCCAAGCUGGAGUUCAGUGGCACGGUCUUGGCUCACUGCAACCUCCACCU